rnacentral:rRNA from 1 species
AAAGCGACUUAUGCAGGGCCUUGGAUGUGAGUUGGCAGUGGGCUAUGGUACAUCGGUGGGCUUGCGUGCCGAUUGGACGAAACUAUAACCUUUGUUAAAUCUUCAAUCAGCGUCUGAAUUAUACAUAAUAAUUACAACUUUCAACAACGGAUCUCUUGGUUCUGGCAUCGAUGAAGAACGCAGCGAAAUGCGAUAAGUAGUGUGAAUUGCAGAAUUCAGUGAAUCAUCGAAUCUUUGAACGCACAUUGCGCCCCUUGGUAUUCCAUGGGGCAUGCCUGUUCGAGCGUCAUUUGUACCCUCAAGCUUUGCUUGGUGUUGGGCGUUUUGUCUUUUUUAGGAAGACUCGCCUCAAAGUAAUUGGCAGCCAGUGUUAUGGUAGUAAGCGCAGCACAUUUUGCGUCUUAGUCCCUCAGCAGCGGCAUCCAUAAAGCCUCUUUCUCACUUUUGACCUCGGAUCAGGUAGGGAUACCCGCUGAACUUAAGCAUAUCAAUAAGCGGAGGA